UAUCAAUAUUAAAUCAAAAAACGAAUGAUCAGAUGAUACACGGACCGCGGACCCACUUGCAUGUUGUUGCUCUUUUGUUGGUUUUGAUUGCUUCUAAUGUCCUCAUUUGUAAGUGGCUUUGGAUAAAAGUGUCUGCUAAAUGACUGUAAAUGUAAAUGUAAAACACAAUGCAUUGUGAGUCUACUGUUGCUAUAGUAACGAAAGCAACCUUGACAGGAACAUUCUAAAAUACUUAACCUGGCUUAAUGCGUUAAUUGAGAGUGUUUUUGAAAGGCUGUUGGAAAAAGACUGAAUUUCUUCAGCAAAUCAAACCUGUGAGCACUGAUAUCACUGCAAAGCGCACGGCAGUUCUACGUGGCUUUCCACUCAUUCUUGGAGAAGAAGCCUCUGACUUUUUUACAACAGCACUGGACUGUGAAUGUGACACACCCCAGAUUUCCAUCGGGAUACUGACUGUGAUACCAGAAGAUAGCCAGGAUUCCCCACAAGCACUGCAUUUGGAGGCUUCGAACACCGCAAUCAUCCUGGAAGGAGUCAUCGUGAUGGAUGAUCUUAAAAAUCUUCCAGAUGCCAUGUGACUACUUUUUGGGCUGAUAUAUGCGCUGAAUUUGGAGUACCCUCCACAGCUCAAGAACACCUUUGAUUUUAUUCAGAGAGUGUUUCUUUCUCUUGGACACAAAUCUCUGAAACCAAAACUACAGUCACUUAAAAACCUGCUGCUGAUGUAA